rnacentral:tRNA from 1 species
GGAGGGGUAUCGAAGUGGUCAUAACGAGGCGGUCUUGAAAACCGUUUGGGGGAAACCCCACAUGGGUUCGAAUCCCAUCCCCUCCGCCA